rnacentral:rRNA from 1 species
AUUGAACGCUGGCGGCAGGCCUAACACAUGCAAGUCGAGCGGAGCGGCGGACGGGUGAGUAAUACCUAGGAAUCUGCCUGAUAGUGGGGGAUAACGUUCGGAACCGGACGCUAAUACCGCAUACUAUCAGAUGAGCCUAGGUCGGAUUAGCUAGUUGGUGAGGUAAGGGUUAACCAAGGCUACGAUCCGUAACUGGUCUGAGAUGAGGAUCAGUCACACGGGAACGAGGACACGGUCCAUACUCCUACGGGAGGCAGCGGUGGGGAUUAUUGGACAAUGGGCGAAAGCCUGAUCCAGCCAUGCCGCGUGUGUGAAGAAGGUCUUCGGAUUGUAAAGCACUUUAAGUUGGGAGGCGUUACCGACAGAAUAAGCACCGGCUAACUCUGUGCCAGCAGCCGCGGUAAUAC